AUCUGUGGGCUCCAGAAGCGCCCAGAGCCCCCACCCUCCCUCGCCCACCUGCGCACUCACCCCUGAUGGCCCAGGUUCCGAGAGGCUCAGCAGGGCAGCCAGGGCCAUGGCUCGCAGGAGGAUCCUGGCUCUGCGCUGGCUCCUUCAGUCUUCAGGGUGUAUUGCAAUGGCCACUGUGCGCCAGACCCCGAGGAGAAAAUGAGGCGGCGCAGGGACAGAGGAGCUCCGAAUCCAGCACUCCUUUCCCUACCCCUGUCCAGGGAGAAAGGCUGGAGAUGAAACAGCCUGAUGGGGCUCAACCAACCAGAAUACAUCAGAAGGGACGCCUCUGUGGCUGGGGAAGGAAGAUGCUAGAGCUGCUGGGAGGAAGUGGGAGAAUUGUCAGGCACCAGCAUGGCCCAGGAAGCCCCUGCCUACUGCAGACUGUAGGGGCAACUGAUAGAGGAUCUUCUUACAUUUGCUUUAUUUCAUGGUGCUGCCCAAAUUCAUGCUGUACCCUCAGCAGCAAGGAGUGGGACCAUUACUCCUGGUGUUCCCAGAUGGAACAGACACCAAGUCUGGCUUUGCCACUGAACACAAUACAGGACUGAUAAAGGGGAGGCAAUGUACUUUGUACUCAGAGAAUUUUACAUGCAAGGAAUCUGACUAUGAAUGAGCCUCCAUUGCUUAAGAGAGACUUCACUAUUUGGGAUUUUAAGAAAGAAAUACACAAACAAGC
rnacentral:lncRNA from 1 species